rnacentral:rRNA from 1 species
AACCUUACCUACUCUUGACAUCCAGAGAAUUCGCUAGAGAUAGCUUAGUGCCUUCGGGAACUCUGAGACAGGUGCUGCAUGGCUGUCGUCAGCUCGUGUUGUGAAAUGUUGGGUUAAGUCCCGCAACGAGCGCAACCCUUAUCCUUUGUUGCCAGCACGUAAUGGUGGGAACUCAAAGGAGACUGCCGGUGAUAAACCGGAGGAAGGUGGGGAUGACGUCAAGUCAUCAUGGCCCUUACGAGUAGGGCUACACACGUGCUACAAUGGCAUAUACAAAGAGAAGCGAACUCGCGAGAGCAAGCGGACCUCAUAAAGUAUGUCGUAGUCCGGAUUGGAGUCUGCAACUCGACUCCAUGAAGUCGGAAUCGCUAGUAAUCGUAGAUCAGAAUGCUACGGUGAAUACGUUCCCGGGCCUUGUACACACCGCCCGUCACACCAUGGGAGUGGGUUGCAAAAGAAGUA